AAUAAAACGGCUUUACCCUUCAGGACAGCGCAGUUGCUCAGCUCAUACCGCACUCCCCAGUCAAUGAAACGGCUUUACUCUCAAGUCUCAACCACCUCUGGAGCUACAGCAAUGGCGGAGGAGAGAGAAAUUCAAACACCUCUUCUCCAGAAUUCACCUUCCUCCUCAACUUCAGAGAUUCAAAGACACAUUGAAGACGAAAUUCUUCCAUUUUCACCUUCCGAAGUACCGGAAUCAGAGCCUCAUGAUGUUAUAACAUCAUCAUCUUCAGUUGCUCGGAAGAACCAGCGGCUCGUUUCUCUUGAUGUCUUUCGCGGUCUCACAAUUGCCCUUAUGAUUUUGGUUGAUGAUGCUGGAGGAGCUUUUCCAUCUAUAAACCAUUCUCCUUGGUUUGGAGUGACGAUAGCAGAUUUUGUGAUGCCUUUUUUCCUCUUCAUUGUUGGAUUUUCCGUUGGUCUGGUAUUUAAGAAAACUGACAGCAAGUCUACAGCAACAAAAAAAGUCAUCAUAAGGGUAAUCAAGCUCUUCCUUUUGGGUAUCUUCUUGCAAGGUGGCUUUUUUCAUGGAAGGAAAAAACUGACAUACGGUGUAGACGUGAAGAAAAUACGUUGGCUAGGUGUACUGCAGAGAAUAUCAAUUGGAUAUCUAUUGGCUUCAGUUUCUGAAAUUUGGCUUGCCAAUGGUUUGGUGGUGGACUCACAUUUGGCAUUUGUGCGAAGAUACUACAUCCAAUGGAUGGUACCUGUGCUGUUGUGCAUUACUUAUAUUUGCUUGCUUUAUGGCCUCAACGUUCCAAGCUGGGAGUUUGACCUUAAUGGGGCUAAUUCAACACUGUUGCCUUCAGAUGUUCAGACUGUUCAAUGUGGAGUAAGAGGUAAUCUUGAUCCACCUUGCAAUUCCGCUGGCUUCAUUGACAGACUUUUACUCGGCGAAAGUCAUCUGUACCAGCGUCCUGUAUACCGAAGAGUGAUGGAAUGCAGUGUAAAUUCUCCAGACUAUGGACCUUUGCCACCAAACUCACCUGGAUGGUGCCUUGCUCCUUUUGAUCCAGAAGGCAUAUUAAGGUCCAGCUCAUUAAUGGCUGCUGUUACAUGUUUCGUGGGACUGCAUUUUGGACAAAUAAUUGCACAUUUCAAGGAUCACUUUCAGAGGAUGUUCUUGUGGUCUGUAUCUGCUUCCCUUCUUUUAAUCUCAGGAUAUGUUUUGCAGGCUUUAGGAAUGCCGCUCUCUAAACCACUUUACACGGUAAGCUAUAUGUGUAUCACAGCUGGUGCUUCAGGCCUCAUCUUUGUCAUCAUCUUUUACCUAGCUGAUGUCAAACGUAUUAGGAAGCCUGUCAUAUUACUGCAAUGGAUGGGGAUGAAUGCUCUUCUCAUAUAUGCUCUGGCUGCUUGCGAGAUAUUUCCUGUUGUUCUGCAAGGAUUCUAUUGGGGUUCGCCUGAAAACAACUUGGUUGAUGGGACAGAAUCAUUUUUGCAAGAGGUGUUAAGUUCAAAGAAUUGGGGCACCUUCGCUUUUGUUUUGCUUGAGAUUAUAUUUUGGGGUCUUGUUGCUGGUUUACUUCAUAUGAAGCGCAUAUAUGUGAAACUUUAGCAUCUAAUUGGCAACUUACGAGCUCGGGUAUAUGUUCUCACAGAAGAUUACGAAAAUAGAGGAAAAGGAGGUAUCAGGACCCCCCCCCCCCCCCACACACCCCCUAUUCUUGUUUCAGACAGCUGUAAAUUAAAUCCUUUCAUUGUACAUAAUGUUUGUUUGGAAAUAGAAAAAAAAACUACCGUCACAGGUGGAGAUGUGUAUACUGUGCAAUAAAAUACACAAGGAAUGUGUUCUCUCCAACCGGAUUACACGUAACUGCACGUGGUUCACAAUGCUAGAGGAUGCUAUGCACAUGUGGUUCACAUUGACAUUGACAAAUGACAAUGUUAUUCCUUGGUUGCACAAUACAAUUUGCGCCUAAAGGCGACUGUUAUUGAGUCUCACAUAUGUUUUGUAAAGGCUGUUAGGAAUGAACAAUUACAAAUUGACUUCAUCCUUAUGCUUCUUGUUAUGGUCCUCACAAUCCAAAUGCUAUAGCCAGCAUAGAACAUAAACAUUUGCACUUUGGGUUGAGAAUGAGUGCAGUAAAAUUCUAGCUUGUUGAGUGAUAGUAAAAGUCAUCAUACUCUUAUUUUUUUCAACUUUCAUGAACAAAAACUUUACAAGGUAAGCUUCUUAUCGUUGACAAGAAAGUGUAUUAUGUAUACAUAUCAUGAUCCCCUCUAGAUAAUCUAAAAUUGUAUACAAAAUUUGGAUGUCAUCUUUUAUAUGCAUGCAAAAAUGACAGUGGAAUCUUGUGCUUUUCUUGUUUCCCUUGUGUAUUCUUCCUAUCCAUCAAUAUUUACAAAUGAUGGGAUUUUAUAGGAAGCUAAAUUUAAAAGUCUUUUUUUCUUCCCUUAGCUUUCCGAUAUCUUGCAUUCUCAGAAAUUAGAACUCUACCAAUAAAUACCCAACACAUUCAGUAAACAAAAAGAAGCCAAUUUCUUCGCAAAGAAGCUAGGCGGCUGGUAUUUUGAUUUCACCUCCUAAGGCAAAAUGGCAAAUACUAGCCGUCUUUGCUUAUGGAGAACAGGCUCUUUUAAAAACUCCCCAAAAAUUUGAAUUUACAGUCCCUUCAUCUCUUCUUCCUUGAGCGAAGCCAAACUCGUGCUGGAAUUCGCCUCAACGUUGUACUGCUUGGUCAAUGACACAUCAUCCGAUCCAAGCCUAGACCCGUGCCUUGAACCUUUAUCUUUUGACUUUGACAUUGCCUUGACAGAGCCUUCUCCAUCUUUGGAUUUCUUUCGUCUAGAUUUCUUGGGUAUGUUAGGAAGGCUUUGUGAGCUGGAGGAUUCACCGACUCGGGGGCUAGUGAUUUCCUUUUGUUUAUGGCGCCUCCUGGAGGAUCUGGAUUUGUGGCUUGGACUCCCAAGUGGAGAGUCUGUUGACCCAAUGCUGUCCAUUGAUGGUUGCCGUCUUGACGACUUUGGCAAACCUGGUAAGUCUCUCGCUGGAGAAUCUCUUACAGAAGUAUUUCUUUUGGUGGAUGAAUCUAUCAAAUUUAAAAUCAAACCAGACAAUCAAAUACAUUUGCUGGCCUUUGUACCUCUAAACUAAACCUGAUAGAACUAUCUGAUGAUUUAAUCCAAACCCGGAUUUAUAUGGUAAAAUCCUACCCAAAAAGAUUAAUAAACCAUAUUGUAAUUAUUUUUUAUUAUUUUAAAUAACUAAUUUAAAAGACCUUAAGAUGACUCGAACCUCAUUAAAAGCCAAAAAACAUAACUUGGCCAUCAGAUUUAUAGAAUGUUGGUGUCAGUCACAAUUUACUGUAUUUGGAGGGAAAUGAAUGGCAGGAGGUUUCAAAAUGCUCAGGCUUCUCCGCAAGUUAUUAUCAAGCAAAUUUAGACUAUGGCUUAUGCGAGGAGUAUGAUGUUCAAGAAGACUAUUAAUAUUAUGCCUUAAUUUCUUUGUGGUUGUUGUGUUUUUUUGGCUAGCCUGUUGUUCGGUGCUUUGCGUUUCUGUUGUUUACCAUGGUGAAAUUUUUACCAAAAAAGAAAACAUAACUUGACCUGAAUGAAUAAUUCAUCAUCUAGACAUGAUGCAAGCCUAACAAAUAGUUCUACCCUGUACAAGUUUAGAAAAUGGUAAAGUGAGAUAGGAAAACAAGAACCUUGCGAGUUGACGUCCUCAACAUCCUUGUUAGCGUCUCCGUUUAGUAGUGGUGCUGUUGUAUUCCCUGCUUCUGGGGGUUUGAACUCAUUCAUCUAACAACCAAACAUUAACGGAUUAGUUUUAGAAAAUACAAAAUUAGAUUAAGUUUUCUACAUGAUGGUAUUAUGAAAAUAGAAGUAAAGGCCUAAUACAUACCCAACUUGGUGAGUUUACAGAUGGACCAUCCCAUCCAAUAUGAGCUACAUGCUUUACAUCUGUGGGAAAACCUAUUUGCAUUUCCUUAUCAUCCUCCUCUUCCUCUAAUCACAUUAUAAUCAACACAGAUGAUCUCGUUAAUCGUUGUAAAUUAAUAUCAUAAAAUGAUCCUAAAACUAAAUUAUUUCUGUUUUUUCUUAGAGGUGAGAUGGACAUACCAAAAAUCUGGGAAAUGUAUCUGAGGCCCUUGAGUAGGCCCUUCAUCUUUAUGCUCAUAACCUACAAAAAAGCCCCUUUUUUCUAUUUAUUUUAUCCUUUCUAAUCGUCGGUUUCCAUUGCCCUCAUAAUAUAGCCAACUGAAAACAAAGUGGCACAUCAAAGGAAAAAUUAUUAGAUUAGGGUAAACUAGCUAGAUGAACAUCGCCAUUUAUUCAAUUCAUAUAUUAAUCGCCUCAUCUGAUACAUGAUUGAUUCAGCAGCACGAUGAUGUGAUACUCGAUAGAAACUAUUUUUAAAUAUGGAAGAUGAAUAGGAUGAUAAAAGAUACUCAAACCUUGAAGAAAUAAUGUGAGCAAUGUCAAUAUACCAAAGAAUUGUUCAAGUGAAACAAUUAGAAGAAGAUCUUAUAUAUAUUUGAUUGUCUUUUUUGUAGGAGAAAUUUAUCUUUAGCUUAAUAAAUGACUUCCUUUUUCUUCUUUUUUUUCCUCUCCUUCGCCAAUACUAGAUAGAAUGUCAUGCAAGAUGGAAAAUGAUUUAGAAAAAGAAAGAAAAGGGAAUUAAUGAAAGGAAAACUUUGUAUAUAGAAGGGUUGAGCUUUCGCUAAUUAGAUGGGAAAAUGCUAAUGGUCUUGCUAAUAAACCCUUAAUGGUAGGAACUAGGAAGCCAUUCGCUCGUCGAAAAUUUAGCAUCUUGCCAAGGAAAAAGGAAGCAAAUGCAGUUUGUUUCAUCGUCUAUUUUUAGUGUGUUUGGACAAGUCAGUGGUUUGAUCUAUGUUUAAGUAAUCCGGCCUUCUAUUUUAACUAAAUAUAGACUAUUAUCCUACGAUUUAGCAGAUGAUUAACGGAUGUUAAUAGAAAUACAAAAGCUACCUUUUAUUGGUUAAAUCUACAUUUAGGGUCUUUCGGUUAUAUGAUAACUAGUUUUAUAUGCACGUGCUGCGUGCAAACGUAAAUAGAUUACGCACAAAAUUGAUUUAGAGUAGUUGUGUGUGUGAUUAGUAGUGCACAAUCUUGCAUGCAUACAUAUAUAGCAGAAUUCCUUAUUGAAUGAAUGUGGAUAUUAUAGUCUAUUUCUAGGGGUCAUAAAAAUGUCAAUUAUUCUCUUAUAGAAUAAAGAUUAUUAAAUUAUACGGCCGGCAGCAUUUUAAUGUUUCUACUCCGUAAUAUUUAGUUAGCCAAGAAUAUAAUGUACACUACUGUAAAGCAAAUUGUACGUUCUGAUUUUUGUCACUAUACAUGCAGAAUCACGGUUUGAUGAUUAGAAGACUUACAUAAUGUUUUAGCCAUUUUAGUUUAUGUAUCUCUUGAACAGUACUAUCUCAAUGUUCCUGAUUUCUACCCACUUACUAUUUAUAUAUUGGAUCAAACUUAAAUUUU